GACGAACGCUGGCGGCGUGCCUAAUACAUGCAAGUUGAGCGCUCAAGGGUGGUGCUUGUACCAACUGGAUGAGCAGCGAACGGGUGAGUAACGCGUGGGUAAUCUGCCUUUGAGCGGGGGACAACUUCUGGAAACGAAUGCUAAUACCGCAUAAAAACUUUAACCACAAGUUUUAAGAUUGAAAGAUGCACUUGCAUCACUCAAAGAUGAUCCCGCCUUUGAUUAGCUAGUUGGUGAGGUAAACGCUCACCCAAGCGAUGGUACAUUACCGACCUGAGAAGGGUAACGGCCAAAUCGGGACUGGGAAACGGCCCCAAACUCCACGGGGAGGAGCAGGAGGGAAAUUUCGGCAAUUGACGAAAGGCCGAACGGACAACGCCGGGUGAGUGAAGGAGGGUUUCGGAUCGUAAAACUCUGUUGGUAGGGAAGAAAGAUGGGGGGAGGGGAAAGCUCACCAAGUGACGGUAACUACCCAGAAAGAGACGGCUAACUACGUG
rnacentral:rRNA from 1 species